rnacentral:rRNA from 1 species
CGAGCACGCGCGUGUGGCAUAUCAAUAAGCGGAGGAAAAGAAACUAACAGGAUUCCCCUAGUAACGGCGAGUGAAGCGGGAAGAGCUCAAAUUUGAAAUCUUCAAGGUUCUACCUUGACGAAUUGUAGUUUAUAGAAGUGUUUUCUGUUAGUAGAGUGGCAAAAGUUCUUUGGAAUAGGACAUCAUAGAGGGUGAGAAUCCCGUAUUUGGUCAUUCUUCCUAGCUUUGUGAUACACUUUCAACGAGUCGGAUUGUUUGGGAAUGCAGUCCAAAAUGGGUGGUAAAUUUCAUCUAAAGCUAAAUAUUGGCGAGAGACCGAUAGCGAACAAGUACCGUGAGGGAAAGAUGAAAAGAACUUUGAAAAGAGAGUUAAACAGUACGUGAAAUUGUCAAAAGGGAAGCGUUUGACACCAGUGUUGUUUUUCCGAAAAUCAAUUACGAAUGUUUUAGUUUUUGAGGAGUUAUGACUUCAUCGGCUUGCUCUCUUCUUUAUGAAACUUUCUUAAUGCACUUUUCGGUUAACAAGUCAACAUCAAUUUCUCUUGUUGUAAAAGGGUAUGAGGAAGGUGGCUUUCUUUUCGGAGAAAGUGUUUAUAGCCUUGUACCUCUGCAAUCGGAGAGAUUGAGGUCUGCAGCGUAGAUCCUUCGGGGUUAGAUACAUUUGUGCUAAGUUAUAGCUUUUCAUAGACAACCUGUUGACUAUGUUUAGUCUUGUAGCUUACUCGCUUAUGCUAUUUUACCUACGCUUAGGAUGUUGAUGUGAUACUGCGAGCA